ensembl:lncRNA
CAGGUGGUUUAUGUGGUGAGUAAAGGCUGGCGUUUAUUAAGCCUUUAGUUGCUUCAGUAGGAAUUCCUUUGAGUCAGUUUGGGUCGGGUAUAGUAAGGAUACCCAUAUAGCUGCAGCACACCUGAAAACUAAACUGUGAGCGACUUGCAUUCUGGGAAAUGUAGGGCGCAGCCAGCAUGAAGGAUAAAACAGUCACUUCUGCUUCUGCUACACAUUUCUAUCAUUAACAAACAAUACCCAGCACAUCUAAUGACUGCUAUGCCAAACUGGGUGGGUAAUUUAAAGACAAGAACUACAUCUUUGAUGUGUAUUUGGCUUUUUAAUCCUCUAGGUUUUCAGGGGGAGGUUUUGGGCCUAUCCUCUGAGUCCAGUACACAUUUUUCUGAGUGGCAGGCUAUGAGUCCUCUGGUGGAGUGUGAUGAUGAUGUCAUGGUCUUCACUGCCUCCGGUCAAGGAUUUACACACCUGUCAGUGGACAGAGUGGGAACCUCUCCGAUCUCGGUGUUUCAGUUGCCUCCAUACUGUGGUUACACUCUGAGGACAUCGUGGAGUGACCUUGAGAUGAUGGUGCCAUACGACGCCUGUUACAUCACCCAGGAGGUACCAGCAGCAGCGUUUGACGCCCAUCAUCGUCUCUCGUGGUCUGUGUUAACUGCCCCUGACUUUGUCGUGCUGCUUUCUGUCAGAAUAACAGUUACAUGCUGCCCCUGCUGUGGUGGGGCACCCCGCUGAAGCUCUCCUGCCCAAUUCGGAUAUCCAUUCCUACACCCUUGUUCCCUCUUUCACCACCCUCAGUCUUCUGCUCCUCCUUUGGCAUGGCAGUGCAGAUACAUGCACAGGAGAAGGAUAUACCUGCAUUGGGAGUGAAAGGUUUUUUGUUUUGUGUGUGUAUUUUAUGUAAAGUUAGGAGAUAGCUUAAUGCUUCUGGUCUUGAAGAAUAGUGGAAAUUUAUGCAAUUUUUAAACACUGGUGGUUUUCAUUGUCAAUUGAGUAAAAAAACAAAAACAAAAGUAUGUUCAAUGUCUUGCAGUGAAUGGAGCUUUGCAUCCAUUUGUAUCUGAACAGUGUGCGUACUAUAUAGACUCCCAGUCUGAGGAGCAUACUUUGUUCAUCUACUCCAGUGCUCCUUGUUUCACCAGUAGAGUAAGUUUUCCUAUUUUAACUGGAUUACC